GACGAACGCUGGCGGCGUGCUUAACACAUGCAAGUCGAACGGAAAGGCCCUGCUUUUGUGGGGUGCUCGAGUGGCGAACGGGUGAGUAACACGUGAGUAACCUGCCCUUGACUUUGGGAUAACUUCAGGAAACUGGGGCUAAUACCGGAUCGGAGCUCCUGCUGCAUGGUGGGGGUUGGAAAGUUUCGGCGGUUGGGGAUGGACUCGCGGCUUAUCAGCUUGUUGGUGGGGUAGUGGCUUACCAAGGCUUUGACGGGUAGCCGGCCUGAGAGGGUGACCGGCCACAUUGGGACUGAGGUACGGCCCAGACUCCUACGGGAGGCAGCAGUGGGGAAUAUUGCACAAUGGGCGGAAGCCUGAUGCAGCAACGCCGCGUGCGGGAUGACGGCCUUCGGGUUGUAAACCGCUUUCGCCUGUGACGAAGCGUGAGUGACGGUAAUGGGUAAAGAAGCACCGGCUAACUACGUG
rnacentral:rRNA from 1 species